UGUGGAUUGUUCAUCUCCAUAUACCCAGACUUGUCUCAAAUUUUUCUUCCCAUUUGUAUGUAGAUUGUGUUCAACAACCACUACAACAACUCCACCAAUUUCCCCUAUUCCUCUCGGUCACCCUCUCUCUCAUUUGUCACAAGACACACAACACACUUAACACAACUCCACACACAACUCUCCUCUCUCUCAAAAAGAAAAAAAGGGUAGAAGAAAGCAGAGGAGAAGUGUUUUAUUUCAGGAGCUCUUUUUCCUCCAAAACUUGGUCCGCACGAUUGGAAGGCCCUCACUGUAUCAUUGAGGUUUUAUCCCUCGUGUCUUCCUAAAGUACAUUGAUGAAAGCAGUGGAUUCUAAAAGCAGUGUCCAUCAGUAUCUUCCCUCUCAGCAUAAAUAGAGGUCAUCUGAAGCCAGAAGUCGAACCUCCGUCAAAUUUGUCAACUAAACAGGAUCCUAGCCCAUUUUCUCCGUAUCACAUUUCAACCACAAACAUGCACACGAGUACAGGAAAAUUUGCAGCGGCAUAGAUGAUAUCAUCUUCAUACGAUUUUUUUUCUGGAUUGGAUGGCUGAGAUAUUUGGAGGAAAACAACCAUUCAUCCUUACCUUUAAGGUGAGGGUUUAGGGGUUGUAGGUUCCUAUAAAAAGGAAAGAAACAGCAGAGAACAGGGGGGGGGUUCGGUGACGGCUAAUAAAAGAAAAAACAGAGAGCAAGAGGUUGACGGCCAGAAAGAGACCAGAGAGAGGGGAGUGGGUUGAAGUCGAAUAAAAAAGGAAGAAUCUGGGGAGCAAGUGUAUGGCGGCUAGGGUUAGAGAGUGGGGGAGCAGACGGCUAAGAAAAGGAAACAAGGACUGAAAAAGAGUGAAAGAGAGAGCGAGAGAGAGAGCGGAGUUUCUGUGUUAGAUUGGAGGUGAAACUGAGAGAGCUUUCGUGAGAGGGCAAGAAAAACUGGUGGCGGGCAGAGGGCUCUUGGCUGGAAAGGACAAGAAAAAAACAAUGGAGUAAAAACUAAGCAAGGCCGAAGGGAGGAGAGAAGGAAAAUCUGGUCAGGUGUGGUUCCUCAAAGAGCAAAGAAGUCACUGGAACUGCUAAUCCUCACGACCGUCACUGUCUUCACCAUCACAGUAAGUAUUCCUCUUCCUGCUAAAUUUCAGUAUCUCUUCAAAUGCAGACUCUUGAAGUUCUUAAAACAUGUAUUCUGUGACCUUGCUUAUGAAACUUUACUGUUUUGUUGAUUAUUUUCCCUCUCAUUUUGUUUCAUGUUCACUAAGAUUCUGUUUUUCCCACUUUUGUGAGUGGCUGUGCGUGGGUCAUGAGUGGGUUCGGGUUUUUUUUUUGUGACUGAAAAUGUAUGAACUCAAAAAGCUGUCAACUUUCGUGCUUCCUUUCCCUGGUGAAACUGAACGUGUAUGAUUCAUGGGUUGCAAAUUUUUGUUCUUAGUAGCUUGUCUGUGUUCAUGGUUGGGGCUGCGUUUAACAUGAACCUCUACUACAACAAGCUCGAAGUUUUCGACCUGUUGCAGCACGGUUGACAGACCUAUCGUUGUUAAUGUUUGUGGUAGUGGCUGUCAAUCUUCGCAUGUUCGAUUGAUUGUCGAAGAAAUGGUUCUGUUUUGUUAAGAGUCAUGAACGGAAUCGUCUAAUACUUCCCACAAGUUUGCAGAUUAUGGUCUUCAUGAAUUCCAUGUGUGAUAUGACGGCAGGCCAUAACAUUAACAUGGUUUUACAGUUUUGAAGCAUUUGGCUACUCCAUUUUCUGUUUGGUUGUCAUUGUUGCAAGGCCUGAUUUGUUGAGGCUUGUGUUCCUAGGCAAUAAUUCUGGGUUCGUUUGCUAGUUGAAAUGUUCAGUGUUGUUAAGGGGUGUUCGGGUGAUAGGUUAGAUGGCUUCGUUUGAAGUUCCGUGUGAGAUUUUUUGCAUCAGACUUGCAGAAAGCAUUUGUUGUUCAAAGAGAAAGUUCCCUCGUGGCUUUGUAUGGGAUUUUUCCUAAAGAAUUCUACACUUUGCUCAUGGUUUUGCAUGUGAAUGAUUUGACUCACAUCGGAUUUCUUUUAGUUGAGCAAACUUGCGGCUUUGCCACUGUCCGUUCAUUUCUGUCGUUUGAAUAAAAGUGGUCAGUUUGCCUCCAUCCGAGAGUUUGGAGAGAUGUUUUCUAUGAGUGUUGAGUCUUUUGUUUGUUCUUGAUUGCAAGAGUAUGGGUGGGAUCUUAGAUUUUUAUCUUGUGAAUUUGGUUGGAAGUCACGGCAGAAGUUUAAGUUAUUUUGGUUAUGUUUUGAUAAGCCACAAGUCUGCGUCAAAAAAUAUUACAAAAAAAAAAAAGAAAGCCUUCUUAGCUGCCGAUUUUUUUUUAGCAGAAAGCUUGGUUCGUAUUCUUGUUUGCAUGAGAAUCUUCAUCAUUUCUGGUUCUGCCAUUCUCUCUCGUGCAUCUGGAAUGAUAAGUUUGAUAUAAGUUUAAGGUUGAGUUUUGAUUUGAGAGGUUUGUGAAACCUGUCAGGCGAGGUUGAUUGCUGAAGCUUCAUAACAUAGGAAAAGUUGUUGCAGAAGCUUGUUUGCAUGUUUCUUUCAUGAUUUGCAUGAAAAGAUUCCAAAAAAUUACACUUCAGCCCUCAAGUCUCCCCUCGUUCCACUAUGACCCAACCAAUUGAUUAAUUUCCUCAAUU